CAUGUGGGGCAAGCGUUGUUCGGAAUUACUGGGCAUAAAGGGUGCGUAGUGGCUUGCUAAGUCAGUGGUGAAAUCGUCCGGCCCAACCGGACACGUGCCAAUGAUACUGGUGAGCUCGAGUGCGUGAGGGGUAGGGGGAACGAGCAGUGUAGCGGUGAAAUGCGUAGAUAUUGCUCGGAAGGCCAAAGCCGAAGGGACCCUACUGGUACGUAACUGACACUGAGGCACGAAAGCGUGGGGAGCAAACAGGAUUAGAUACCCUGGUAGUCCACGCCGUAAACGAUGAUCACUAGGUGGGUGCUGAGCUAUCGGUGCCCGCCGCAGGUAAUUUGCUAAGUGAUCCGCCUGGGGAGUAUGGUCGCAAGGCUG
rnacentral:rRNA from 1 species